rnacentral:rRNA from 1 species
ACGAACGCUGGCGGCGUGCUUAACACAUGCAAGUCGAACGGAAAGGCCCUGCUUUUGUGGGGUGCUCGAGUGGCGAACGGGUGAGUAACACGUGAGUAACCUGCCCUUGACUUUGGGAUAACUUCAGGAAACUGGGGCUAAUACCGGAUAGGAGUUCCUGCUGCAUGGUGGGGGUUGGAAAGUUUCGGCGGUUGGGGAUGGACUCGCGGCUUAUCAGCUUGUUGGUGGGGUAGUGGCUUACCAAGGCUUUGACGGGUAGCCGGCCUGAGAGGGUGACCGGCCACAUUGGGACUGAGAUACGGCCCAGACUCCUACGGGAGGCAGCAGUGGGGAAUAUUGCACAAUGGGCGGAAGCCUGAUGCAGCAACGCCGCGUGCGGGAUGACGGCCUUCGGGUUGUAAACCGCUUUCGCCUGUGACGAAGCGUGAGUGGCGGUAAUGGGUAAAGAAGCACCGGCUAACUACGUG